UUUCUUCAUUUUCUGAAGAUUUUCGCCAUUGACAGACGUCAUUUCGCCACGCCAUCUAGCGGCCGAUUUUGGAAACAGCAAGGGAGAUCUUUUCUUCUCGCCAUUACUUUUUUUUCAAACUCCAACUAUCGAUACCUAACCAAACCCAGCUGUAGUACAUCGAUACCAUUCUUUUCUCAAUCAUUCCGCGCAGUCACUGUCUAAACAACAACAACAAGGUCUGUCUCAUUACUACGGAUUUGUUUUAGACGUCACUGGUAUGAAGUCACUGGUAUGAAGUUUCUGCUCUCUGCUUCGCUGGGAUUUGUUUUAGACGUCACUGGUAUGAAGUCACUGGUAUGGAGUCUCUG